GUGCACCAGGGCGUCCGGAGCCGGGCAGGCAGCCCCCACCAUCCGCAAAGCGUGAGGAAGUCUUCCUGCGAGGCCGGCAGGCCGCGGGGGCUCAGGAGAGCUCCGCGCAUUGCCUACUGUAAACCCAGAGGCUUGUCAGAGGAGAGGCCGCCCGCCCCCACGCUCGACAUCCCGCGCGGGGUUACCCUCUUCCCUGCGCGGCAGCAGCCCCCUCCCCUGCGUCGCCGGCGACUCGCACAGCACCGCCCGCUCCUGCGCGUUGCGCUCCUUGCCGGCGCCCGCCGCCUCCGCCUCCGCGUUCAGCGGGCGGGGGCGCCGGGCGACCCCCAAGGCAGGUGGGGGGGCCCAGGGUGGGACUUGGGGGUCUGGGGCAGGUGUGGGCUAAGGAGGAACGCCAGCCGGGCCCCCCUCGCUCCCGAGGCGAGCUGGGAGUCCUGGGAAACGUCUCCGCCACGGUGCAGGGCUCGCAGGAGCCUCCAAAAGACAGCAACGUUUGUCUGCCCGGCAGGACCUGCGGAACCCAAAGGACUGACGAUGGGACACCCAGUUCUGCUUGGCAUUUUCACAUAACUGUUGAAGACUGAAAGUUCUGAAAACGUGGAGCCACCAGCCGACUUCCCUUUCCGUCUCAUUAGUCGGGGUGGAGGCACAAGGCCAGCUGAGCUACGAGGGAAACAAGGAAGUGAGUUUCUGGCAACGGGAGGUGGGACGGUCGUGACCAGGCAAAGCGGCUGCUUCAGUGUCCCCGGAACGUUGAAAAAUAAGAGUUUUAUUUCCUUGUAAAAGUUAAUAGAUAAUCAUGAAGAAAGUUUGGAAAGAGGAAAAAAAAAAAAAUUCCCCCAAUGCGGCUGCUCAGCACCCUUUUAACACUUAUAAUCAUAUUGUACUGUGGGACUUUUUUUGACUUAACAUGAUUAGUUUAAAGCUCUAUGGUUUUUGAAAUCUAUUAUUUCGAAAUAAAACAUAAACCAAGGAGGUAGCAUGGAGCAGCAGGAAGGGGGCUGGCUUUGGUGUAAAGAGACGGUGCUUGGAGCCCGGGUCCUGGCACGAAUCCAUCACUGUAUUUCUGCUUCCUCAAAAUCGAGAAAUGUGUUUCCUGAGUUCCACCACUUCCAAGGCUUCGUGAUCACAAGAGCCGUGUCUUUGAGACACGCAAGCCAUGCUGUUCAGAUACUGACUCAACACAGUGGGUCUAGACCGCAAAGACAAGCAGAAGAGUGAACUGGAAGUUACCACCGUGUGAAACUGGGUGCCUGAUAUGCAAUAAUGUAAGAUACAACACAGAAUGUGUACCCGUGCUUCGUUUUUCAACGGCAGCCAGAAAUCUGGAUUUUCAUGUGAAAUUAUUAGCUUUUAAAACAGGGACACCUAAUUUGAAAAGCAAAAUACUCUAGAGGCCAGACAAAACACAUCUGCUCAAUGUCAGUCUGCAGCUCUGGCUAAACCAGCAGCCAGCUUGAGCAACACUGGAAAAGGGAUGUAUGGGGUGAGACGGGAGGUGGGAGUAGGAAAAGCUGCUUAUAGGACCUUUUGGUCAUGCAGCAGCUGGAAUAGUACAAGCCGUCUAAAACAUCAAAUACUUAUAUUAAUGGUGAAUACAUACAAUCUAGGCUUUUUAGCAUCUCUAGUUUUUUACACCGAGGCCAUCAUUACUUCCCCCUGCGGAUUCUGAAACACCCUCGGGUGUGACCUGAGCUUUGACCUGCGCUCCUGAGUUAAGCACGUGCUCUAUGGGAAACAACUGAAUCGGAUCCUGUGAGGUCCCGAAGUGUCUCAUCGGAAUGUGAAACAUGCCAAUUUUUUUCUCUUUCAUGUGUGUUUCCCCCGAUCGCUGAUCGUUACGGUUCGAAAUCAAGUCCUGUGUCUUUUGCCUCCAUCGUUCAGUUUAAGGACAAAACGAAAAUGAAAAUCACGAGCGUCUUCGACGGGUGUUCCCUUGCGCUCGAAUUGCCACCUCCAGCCGUUUGUUCUCUUCUCAGCCUAAAUGUUGCCCCUUUCAUGUCUCCCCUUCAGAGAGAGAACGACCCACGACACCAGGCGCUGCAGGUCUUCGCACUCUCAGCAGUUCUGACUCUCGCUGCCUGAAACCGGUACAGAAAGAGGAUGUAACAACGUUGAACUUUUUAUGUGAUUUUUUUUUGCCUUUGACACAGUUAUUAGAGGUUUUUUUUUUUUUUUUUUUAAAGCAACAGCGCCCUACGAGGACACCAGGUUUCUAAAUGAUUCAUCUUCUCACAGACCUUGAUAUUCAAUCCAGGUGUAGGAAUAACAGGAUAGCCCUUGGGUUCUAUCCUCAGGGCUUGGAAAGGCUUCAGUGAAAUUCUAUAGCAAAAGGCCCCUGUGCUUACCCUGACUUUCUCUUUGUUCUACUCACUUUUUAUCUCUGAAAAGCAAAGGGAUUUCCUUGGGGGAUUAAGCAGAGGAAACAGCCAAAGGUAGCUAUCGUGUUUCAUUUGAAUUAGGAGAUGCCAAAGAAUCCUGAAGUCAACUCAACGGGAAGCCCUUUGCCCCAGUCUUGGAAGGGUCCCCGGGUCUCACCAGCACGAGCGUCACAAGUCCUCAUCCCACCCAGACGUAUCAUCCUCUCUUCUCCCUCACCCGACCCCCACUCCGGGAAUAUCUUGGACAAACAGUAGUGGUUUCUCGAGCAAGGCAGAGAAAUGUCUCAUCGGAAUGUGAUACAUGCCAAUUUUUGUCUCUUUUCAAAAGUUUUUCCAUGUAAUAUCUUGCUAACACAAAAUCAUUUUGCAAUUACAUAUUUUUAAAUGGAUGGGUGCUGUUCUCACCCUGCGAGAUUCUGGUUUUGAGUCACUGAAAUGAACAGAGGUAGAAGAACAGACAGAUGACUAGUUUUCUUAGUGAUAGAUCUUAGAAGCUGCUGUUCAAAGAAUGAGAUGAAAGGGAAGCAUUUCCCAUACCUCCAGCCGGACUUAUCUAUCUCCUGUCAACACAAAGCUACAUAAAAAAUACAUAUUGAGCUGCUAUUCAAGAGUCGCUACAAAAUCUUGAAAUAAACAAUAACAUAAGUCACAUUUCUAUUAGACUUCUCAAAUUUUUACAUCCUGAUUUCUGGUUGACAUCUACUUUAAAAAUAUCCAAUGAUAACCUGAAUGGCCAAUUUCUAAGUUAGCCAUAUUUUUUACUAAUUCCUUUUGAAGUAAAGUAAGGGUGUUUUUUUUUUUUUUCUUUUGGUUAAUGAUUUUAAAAUGUUAAAAGAGCAAACUAUUUUUCACAUUUCCUUAUGUAACGUUGUAUUUUUCUUUUGCUUAUUAUGAUCACUCGUUACAUUUUUAGGGAGAUGCUUCAUUUAUACUUUUAUGUUUGGGGAGUAGUCUGUGAAAUUUGACAUAUAGUAUUUCCAUUUGAUUUAAAAAUACUCUUCAUCACACUUUGGGUUUCCUCUCUAGCCCAAAUAUUAUUUAGCGGAGUUUAUCUUUUUCAUUUUUUUUUUUAAUUUUAUUUUAUUAUUUCUUUUUCAUUUUUUCUAUGUGGUUAUUUUUUAUUUCUAAUUGUAUGAUUUACUCUCUGGACAUGUGGAUUGUAGAGUUGUGACUUAUAUUGUGUAGUACAGAACAUGGUUAAUUUUUAUCAAAAAUAGCCUUGGGCGAAAAGCAAGCUUGCUUAUGUGUCCAUGUAGUUUUUUUGCACAUAUGUUAAAUCUGCCUUAUUAAUUUUGUAUCACUUUAUGUCACAUGGAUUAACUAAAUUCUACUUCUGAACUGCUGAUAUUCCUAAUUACAUUAUAUACUGUAUUUCUGCCCAUUUUUUUCUAUGUAUGCACUUUUUGCUGAA
rnacentral:lncRNA from 9 species